GUAGUCCACGCCGUAAACGAUGGAUACUUGAUGUUGAAGGUAUUGACCCCUUCAGUGUCGUAGCUAACGCGUUAAGUAUCCCGCCUGGGGAGUACGGUCGCAAGAUUAAAACUCAAAGAAAUUGACGGGGGCCCGCACAAGCGGUGGAGCAUGUGGUUUAAUUCGAUGCAACGCGAAAAACCUUACCUGGGUUUGGCAUCCUCUGAAUGCCGUAGAGAUACGGAGGGCCCGAAAGGGACAGAGAGACAGGUGCUGCAUGGCUGUCGUCAGCUCGUGUCGUGAGAUGUUGGGUUAAGUCCCGCAACGAGCGCAACCCUUGCUAUUAGUUGCCAGCAUUAAGUUGGGCACUCUAAUAGGACUGCCAACGUUAAGUUGGA
rnacentral:rRNA from 1 species